CGCCAUGCAAGCAGCACAGAUUUUUUUGAUUAUGUAGAUUUUUUUUUUCCCCUAUUGCAGUUUCAUAUGCAAAGCAUGCAUCAGCCACAUCCAUGCUAUCUCCUAAAGCAGUCAUUCUGAAACCCAAUCUGGGGACAGUGCAGACUAAAUAAAAUUUCAUUUUGAUUUGGCCUCCCGCUGAGAAUGGGACUGCUUUGUUUCAGCCGACAGAACCAGCAAGCCAGAAAGGUGUUGAAUACACAAAUACUGAAUUAACGGAUAAUUAUGGUCAUUGUGGUUGAGGAAAUAUUUUUAUCCAGGCCUCAGGAAAUGGUGGUCUGGCUAGCAACUGCAGUGGUGUGAAUGGUUACAUGAAGAGUAUCUACUUGAGGCAAAGCAUGCCAUCACUUACUUCUGCCCCAAUACUCCUGAACUACAAGACCUAAUCAAUGUCAGUGGCCACCUGGAAAUUCCCAGUGAGGAAGGACUAUGGCAGCUUCUACCCUGAAAACAAACCUUCAUUCUGGAGUGAGGUGAGUCAGUAAUGUGUUACCACAGAACUUUAGAGCUGGAAGUACUUCAGUAUUCAAAGACACAUCCAGCACCAGUCCUUUUAACUGCCGUUGUCAUUGCUCUGGCUCUUCCACCCAAGUAAGGAUGAUAUAUGUCUUGUUUUCAGCUCACAUGACAAAGAUAUGACACUUUUGUCACCGAUUCUUAAGAAAAACUGUAUGAGUCAAAUUACAAUCGCAACAAAAGUUAGAACAAAGCCCUCUUUCUUGUUGAAACAGUUUGCUGUUUACUGUCUUUUGCUUAGCUGGUGGUACAGUACAUAGCCUGCAAAUAGAUGAAAUACAUUUUAGAUGCAUGAAAGAAAAAAUACUAUUUAAAACCAUAAGAUUCCUUUAGGAAAAUAAUUAGAGGCAGCUAUCAUCAUUAACUCUGGAAUACAUAACUCUUCCCAUUCUUAAUAAAAAGUGAUCCUUAAUAAAAAGUGAAUGCAGUUGCAUGCCACAGUAUUAAAGAAUAUAUGAGUUAAAUAUCUUCCUGCUUCAAAGAUGCGUGGCCUAAAACCUGAAAAAUUACAGUAUACUCAAAUGAUCAUAAAGGACUGACUUCACUGACCAUUUCUUUGUGUUUGGGGGAUAGAUUUCUGCAUGGCAUAAUAUUUCCACUUGCAUUGGUUUCCUGGCAUGAAAAUGUUUAUUGCACUCAUUAGCUAAGAGGAUGUCGGCACUGGUCCAAUGAACACAGAUCUGCCUUCUGAUUUCAGCCAUUAAAUUGCAAUGGGAUUCACAGGCUUAACAUUGUGGGUGUGAGAAUAAUAAAAUGGAGCUCCAUCUUUAGCCCAGUUACCAUGGAUGCAGUUAAAGGUCAUAGUGGCAGCUGCUAACUAGUUGCCUUUUUAGCUGUAUUUCCCCUCCUGCUAUGUGUUUUUGUGUACCUUAGUUUCUGCAGGUCUGCCUUAGAGCAAUUCCACUUCCUUAACUUGGCAUAUGGGUGUCUUCCUCAACAUGAUGGGUGCAUUGCCAUAAACACGGUUGCUGCCGGCAUCCCUUUAUUGAUUUUUUUUGUGUUUUAAUGGAAAAUGACUAUAAAGACCUUAACAAAAAAAUGGAAAUGCAGCCUGCUCAGCAUCCCAAAUUAUUUCUAUUUUCUGCACUCUGCUUCACGUUCCUAACUUGGGGGAGAAAAAAGAAAAAUCCCUCCCUGUAUAUAGUGAAUUCCUAUCUCCAUUUAAACUCAUAAUGGGCUAAGGAACUGAGGCAUUCACAGUGUGGAACAUCAACUACUACUUCUCAAUUCGCCCCAAAGUCCUAGGAGUUAAUUCCCUGUACUGCAUGAAGCGUCAGAGUAAUUACUGCUGAUCAGCCCUAUCUCUUAGCAUUCUGUCCUGCUUUGAGAGGCACCCUGUUUAUUGAUGCACUGCUACAUCAUCACAUUGCUUUCAUUCAGGCAAGCUGAUUAAUCGAAAGGGCUUGGACAAAGCAAGAUUUUCAAAGAGAAGGAGUGGAAAAAAAUUAAAAGUAGCCAAGUAAAAUAAAGUGAAUGGUAAAGAAGUCUGUAAGCUCUACAAAAUAUUUCCUUAUGUCAACACUUAGUUUCAAUAGAUUUUAAAACUCUUCUUUAUUUCCAAAAGAAGGUACCGUGAGUCUUUUCUGUAGUGACUCAACUACAUGAUCACUUCCUAUUUGAAGAUUUUUAGAAGCACAGUGCUGGAUGCCCUCCUUGAGGAAUGCUUAUUGGUUUUUGUUCUGUUUAUAUACAGGCUAUGACUCUGUCAACCUUUCUGAACCACGAUACAAAGAAACUUUUUUUAAGUUUAUGCCUUUCUGUUUUAAAGAUACAUUUAUAUAACUUGUCAUUUCUCAAAAAUAAAGUACUAUAUGAGCCAAAUGUUUCAGUUCCACACAAGGGUGGCUUCUAGUUCUCAUUGGCAGGAUGCCACUUUAUUCAUUUUUAUUUCAAACACAAUGUGAAACUUUUAAUUCUAAUAUAGUAUAAAAGUGUGAUGGCUAUAAAGCCUACACUGUGACUAAUUCAUGCUCCUCUUCUCCUUGCACUCCUGUGAAUUUUAGAGGGUGGCAGAAAGUUACACUGAAUUCAUUUCCACUUAAAUAUUAUCAGGCUUUGUGUGUUUGUUAGGGAGAGAAGAGAUUUAUUUGGGCUGGCAUCUGUAUUUAAGACUCAAGUGUUUUCCUUGAUUAAGUCACUUUUGGGCACUGUUCUUGUAGAUCUGUGGAUACCCAGCCCAUAGUGAAAGUAACUUUUUAGCCGAGUCUGUUUUGCCUCAAGAAGUGAAAUAGAUUGUCACAUGGAAAAGGAAAUAAACAGGUAAUGACAAAUACAAGUGUAAACAAACCAGUUAUCUAAUUGGUUGCUGAGAUUCUUCUAAUGACAUCACCCCCUCUAUGGCAUUGCUUCAUUAAAAAAUUAUAAUAAGUUUCCUAAGUUGUUCAGCAGGGUUGUUGAAAAUAUCAGAAUAAGGUGGCUACAACUAUUACAGUGGCCCCUUUUACUGUUUCCUCCACCACACUUUUAAUCAGAGAAUUUCUUCUUGUGCCUUGUUUACUGUUGAUAUUUUCUGGCUGAUUGGAUAGGAAUGACAUUUUGACAAUUUACUGUAGCAGUAAGCACUGUACAAACAAAAGGUGCUGAUGAAAACUCGGAACCCAUUAUUAUGUAAAUUAUGGCUGACUAACACAGAUUCCAUCUACCAGUCACCAUCAUUGAGAUCAGUUUUACUCAAUGAUAAUAAUUUUCAUGAUUGCAGUCUUCAGAGAGAUCAGAAAUAUGCUUUAGCUGUUGCAUUUAUCUACUGCGGGUACUUGACCCUUAAUUAAAUUCUGAAACUUUUUUAUAUAAUAAAGUAAAAUACAGCUGGCACUUCCAUUCAAACAAAGAGCAUCAAACACAGAUCUACCAAAUAAGAUAAAGGUAUUUCAGACUUACCUUGUUGUAAUGCUAGUAAACACGAAAACUACAACAUCCUUUGAAAGAGAGCUUAAAGUUUAAAAUGCCAAAAAAAAAAAAAAGCAUGCUCUUAGGCAAUUUAAAUGUUGCACUCCAGUCCCGUGUCUGCUGAAUGCUGCGCUUGCUCUGCAGAAUGGUCUUGAACUUUAUAUUAAAAUAUGCAUGACAGGAAAAAAAAAAAUGAAUGAGCUUUGAGUAUAUAGAUGAUGUUUGUCUGCUCCCGUAUAUUAUUGGGGUCAUAAAUGAAAAAUUGUUAGAAAAUAAAGAAGUAAGAGAUUAUUUAAUGUUUCACACUAAAUUUUGUAAGACAGUAUUCUCCCAAAACUUGAAAAAUAUGCUUUGUAAAACUAUUCCUCUUAAAAACAGAUUAGGAACAACUCAAGGUGCUGCACUGCUGCAUUAGUGUUCUGCUACUAACAGAUACAAAAAUGACUAAAUAGCAUAAAAACAGAUCAGUUAAUUUGGUUUAUAUUUAUAUAUUUAUAUGUGUGAGUUCCAUAAACAAGACCAAGGAAAAGGGAUAUACUGUACAGAAAAGGAAUCUGGGCUUUUCAUUUAAUAUUUUAACUUUUUAAGGCAGCUUUGAAAGCUUUUAGUACUCCUUUCCUCCCUCCUCCCCAGUCUCCUCACCAGUUUUUCAAUCACGAAGAUGGUCAUUCCAGGUAAGAUGUAAGAGUCAGGAUUAAAAAGAGGUAGGGUAUUAUAAAAAUGGAGAUUCAGGAUUUCUUUCAACAUAGCACUUUCCUAAACUGUCAGUUCAUAGAGCCAAUGAGCUAAGAAAAGUAAUUACUUAAGUGGAUUUCAUGAAGAGUAGAAAGAUGAUUGUGCCACAUUAAAUAACAAUUGUAUCCUUAAUGAUGUGUUGGACUAUAAUACAAACAUUCUUCUGCCAUUAUAUGCAAUACAAUAUACCUUUCUAAUUACUCCGGUGGCUUCCUCUUCCUUUAUUAAGAUGCUAUGCUUUCAGAGACUAUGUAAGCAUUAUAUGAGCUGCUUUUUUUUUCCUUAAACUACAGUGAGUGCAGCUGUGUGGUCAUUGAUAAAUUAGUUAUAAAUUACUGACACUUUGUAUAUGAAUGGAAUAAUUGUUUUAUUCCUUUUCUUUCCUUCAUGAAAUACAAUUUUUCUUAGAAGAGAUAUAAUGAAAUUCAAUGAAAUUACUUCUCCAUGGUUUUUUUUGGUAUUUCCAUAUAUGUAACCAGAUAAUUAAUAAGGCAGAUUCAAGACAAGAUGGCUAACUUACUUAAGAAAGUAGAAUAGGGUCUGCAAAUUCAGAAAAGUUGAAAACCAUUUCUCCGUUUCAUUGCUUAUAUUCUGUCCCUAAGAGAUGGAACUCUACACUCCCUAGCACUGCUUUCUAUAAAUCAGUAUGAUUUCUAUGAUUUCUAGAAUUACUUUGGUGCACUAUCUGACCACUCAUUAGACUUGAAUUCCUAACAUUCUGCCAGUGCACAGAGCUUAUAUUUGGACCCAAUUAAAGUUUGCACACAUUAAUAGUCCUACUGAAGAAAAAGGAAACUUAUGUGGAAAUUCUCCCAAAUGUAUAAAGGGAUUGAAGAACUUGGGGGGGGGGGGGGAAUAAAAUUGGACAAUUCCAGAUUCUCUGUCAGAGAGACUGAUUUUUUACAUCAGAAAUUUUCAUGCAUAAAGGAACUUGAAUAAGUGAAUAAAAUAAAACAAGUGAUUAAAGUAAAACCUGCAAAAUAUUAUUCUUCUCUGUUGUCUCUUAGUAGAGACACAUUCUGUUAACUCAUAACUCACAUUCUUCUGCUACCUAUUAAUGCCAUGAAUAGCAAUAAUUUUAUGAGCAGUCCACUCCAAUUUUAUGCAUGCUGCACUGUAGUCCUGAGCUGGCUGGUCAAAGUCACACCUUUGGAAUUUUAUCAGUAAAAAUGGUUGAAAAUUACCAAAGUUCUUUAUCACUGUUGAAUGACCUAAAGUUAGCUAACACCAAAGAGAAAAAAUAUUCCUGUUUUCAAAAUCAGGUUUGACUGCUUUGAAACUUGGUGAUAAUAGGAAAAAUAUGCCAUAGUAUGACCAAACUAUUUUGUGGUUCUCAUCAAUAUAUUAUAUUCCCUUUGUAAAAAACUAGGACACAUUACACAGGUAGUUUCACAUCUGACAGUUCACACACUGUCAAACUAAGAAACAACAACGUCCAUGAUUUAAAAUAAAAUCCACCUAUAAAAUUCAUCUGCAAUUAACACCAUCACUUUCCUAAAAGCAGCUUAGUAAGUAUAUAUUUUCUCUUUCGUCCCAAAUUCUUACUGGUACAGUAGGAGCUCUGUGCUUGGAUCGCAUGUUAGGCAGAAUUAUGGGAAUCUUUAUAAACUCCCUGCUACACUGCUUGGUUAGCUAAAUUCAAGAUUAGUAAAUGGUCCUUGGAAAGUAAGCAGAGUAGCCCCCUGUUACUGCAUCUGAAGUAUAUAUACAUAGCCAUAUAUUCUGCACUCAGUCAAAAGAAGCCUGAGCCAAAAGAAAAA